rnacentral:rRNA from 1 species
UACGAAGGGGGCUAGCGUUGCUCGGAAUGACUGGGCGUAAAGGGCGCGUAGGCGGUUUGUACAGUCAGGUGUGAAAUUCCCGGGCUCACCUGGGGGCUGCGUUUGAUACGUGCGGACUUGAGUGCGGAAGAGGGUCGUGGAAUUCCCAGUGUAGAGGUGAAAUUCGUAGAUAUUGGGAAGAACACCGGUGGCGAAGGCGGCGAACCUG